UACGUAGGGGGCGAGCGUUGUCCGGAUUUAUUGGGCGUAAAGAGCUCGUAGGCGGUUUGGUAAGUCGGAUGUGAAAUCUCCAGGCUCAACCUGGGAACUGCAGUGAGGACUGGAUGGCUGGAGUGUGGCAGAGGGGGGUGGAAUUCCACGUGUAGCAGUGAAAUGCGUAGAGAUGUGGAGGAACACCGAUGGCGAAGGCAGCCCCCUGGGCUAACACUGACGCUCAGGCACGAAAGCGUGGGGAGCAAACAGG
rnacentral:rRNA from 1 species